rnacentral:rRNA from 1 species
UAGUUGUCGUCUCUUGCCAUCCUCGGGGAGAACGGGUCUGGCAUUAGGUUGUCGGGUUCGGGAUCCCCAUCCUUUACUGUGAAAAAAUUAGAGUGUUUAAAGCAGGCUUAUGCCGUUGAAUACAUUAGCAUGGAAUAAUAAGAUAGGACCUUGGUGGUUUAUUUUGUUGGUUUGCACGCCAAGGUAAUGAUUAAUAGGGAUGGUUGGGGGUAUCCGUAUUUCGUAGUCAGAGGUGAAAUUCUUGGAUUUACGAAAGACGAACUACUGCGAAAGCAUUUACCAAGGAUGUUUUCAUUAAUCAAGAACGAAAGUUAGGGGAUCGAAGAUGAUUAGAUACCAUCGUAGUCUUAACCAUAAACUAUGCCGACUAGGGAUUGGCGGUCGUUACUGUUAUGACUCCGUCAGCACCUUAUGAGAAAUCAAAGUCUUUGGGUUCCGGGGGGAGUAUGGUCGCAAGGCUGAAACUUAAAGAAAUUGACGGAAGGKCACCACCAGGAGUGGAGCCUGCGGCUUAAUUUGACUCAACACGGGGAAACUUACCAGGUCCAGACAUAGUAAGGAUUGACAGAU